rnacentral:rRNA from 1 species
CGGCGGACGGGUGAGUAACGCGUGGGUAACCUGCCUCAUACAGGGGGAUAACAGUUGGAAACGGCUGCUAAUACCGCAUAAGCGCACAGUACCGCAUGGUACGGUGUGAAAAACUCCGGUGGUAUGAGAUGGACCCGCGUCUGAUUAGGUAGUUGGUGGGGUAACGGCCUACCAAGCCGACGAUUAGUAGCCGACCUGAGAGGGUGACCGGCCACAUUGGGACUGAGACACGGCCCAA